UGCGUAGGUAGUUUGCAUGUCAGAUGUGAAAGCUCAUCGCUCAACGAUGAAAGUGCAUUUGAAACUGCAGGACUGGAGUACGGGGAGGAGAGUGGAAUUCUUGGUGUAGCGGUGAAAUGCGUAGAUAUCAAGAAGAACACCGGUGGCGAAGGCGACUCUCUAUCCCGAUACUGACGCUGAGGCACGAAAGCUGGGGGAGCAAACA
rnacentral:rRNA from 1 species